rnacentral:ncRNA from 1 species
UUUAAAAAAUGAAAGAAUCUAACUCUAGUACGAGAGGACCGAGAAGGGUAAAUCUCUGGUGUAUCGGUUGUUGAAAAGCAUCGCCGAGUAGCUAAAUUUAUUUUGGAUAAUUACUGAAAGCAUCUAAGUAAGAAACCAUUCUUAAAUUUUUUUUAUAUAAAAACUGUAAAAGAUCAUUACAUUGAUAGGUUUAAAGUGUACGUAUUGUAAAAUAUUUAGCUUAAAAAUACUAAAAGUUUAA